UCGUGCAGGAGCAGUGGCUCAGAAAAUCUUUCUUUUCACUUGUAUUAUAGGAUUUUUUUUUAAAGCAGCAGCAGCUUUACCUUCCAAGAAGCCUGUGGCUUAGCCUAAUAUUUACAUGUAUUUGCAUUUCCUUUGUACACAUGGAUGGGGAAAGAAAGGGUGGGGAAGGGAAUUUGGCUGGGAAUGAAAAUUCGCUCUUAGCCAAUCCUCAAAGUGCUAUUGCAAUUGCCAAUUUAAAAUCAAGAUGCAACUUGUUUAGCUAAAAUUCAGAUAAUUUCCAUCACUCCCACCCUGACUCUUCAUCCCCUGCAAACUUGCAGCUCCUUAGCUGGCCUGUGCAUCACUCCCAGUCAUAUAUGAGGGAGCUAUAUUUGGUGUUAUUCUUAGACACACUGGAAAUUUUCUAAUUCUGCAGGUUUGGGUCAUUUUCAGAGAGCUCUGUGGGCACCCUCUGGUGGCUGACUGAAAAUUUUACCUGCAAAAAUUGCAGUGGAACUGAGAUGGCUUUAUUUGGCAGUCGGGCUUUGCAGUUGGACGGUAAACAUUGAGCAGCCAUUCCUUAGAAUCAUCCUGAUCUGCGGGAAAGAGCACCGAUGGAAGAGCGGAGGAGGCAGGAAGAAAAACUCUCUCCACCUGAGGAUGCCGCCCCAAGCCCUACAAUCAGAGAAUCUGAAGCGCAUGGCUGCUCUGUCAGCACAGUAAAUACCCACACCUGAUUUUCCUUGGCUCUUUCUCCAGGGAUUUUAUUCGUCUCGGGAUACCCCCUCAAAGUCCGCUCAGGUGGCCUUUAUUCUGCAAAGAGUGAAGAACUAAUGUGAUGUCACCCAACCUGCUGGGGGCGGGGGAGAUUCAAGACUGGAGUUUUCUCACCUGCCCAUUGAUGCUGGGGAAUACUUACCUGCAGCCCCUGUGGUCACCCCUACCCUGCACUCUAUCAGAGCAAACUACUCUUGACCAGCAAAUCAUGAUGAGACGUCUAAAGGGCAAGGUCUUAAGGAAGGGUAUACUUGAGGGUCAGGAGAGUAGCCAUGUCACAAGUGGGUUCCAGAAGCUGGCAAGAGAACCCAGUACUCAGAUUCCAGGUUCCCUCCAUAGGCUUCAUUUGGCCCAAACACUAACGUUUACCUGGAAUCAAAGAGGCGCUGUCUACUGGGAGCAGCCUUCUUUAUUGCUACCAUUUUUCAUUUGCUUUUGUUCACAACCAGGCCCCAGGGCAGAAGGGAAGGCUGGUGAGCCAUCAGUCACCCCACACUCACGGGGGCAGCCCCAUUCUGCCCCGCUGGGUCUGAGAGCACCACUGAAGCAGACAGUAUUUUUGGUGUGCAGCCCAGAAGCUAAGAUGUAACUGGAGCAGAGCGAGAAAAAAAACUUUAAAAACCAGUGUGACCACACCUGUGGGAAUAGACAGAUCAACUACGUUCAGAGCCAUUAGCCUGGAGGCAGGGCAGUCUGGGAGCUCCUGUUGAAUGUGAGCUGAGCUCAUGGGUUUCUCUCUCUAGCCUGUGCUUCCAGCAGAAUGCAAAGACUAUGGCAAGGUUGCUAUGUGUCAAGCCCGCGGAAUGGAGUGGACAGCGUGCUCACUGCAGCCAAAGACGCGGUGCAGCCGCCACCUACCCCAAACCCUUCAUGCAUCAGCCCUGGUGACAAUCAAAUGAAGGAGGUGCUGCUGCUGCU